UACGAAGGGGGCUAGCGUUGCUCGGAAUCACUGGGCGUAAAGGGUGCGUAGGCGGGUCUUUAAGUCAGGGGUGAAAUCCUGGAGCUCAACUCCAGAACUGCCUUUGAUACUGAGGAUCUUGAGUUCGGGAGAGGUGAGUGGAACUGCGAGUGUAGAGGUGAAAUUCGUAGAUAUUCGGAAGAACACCAGUGGCGAAGGCGACUCGCUGGACAGAUACUGACGCUGAGGCGCGAAAGCGUGGGGAGCAAACAGG
rnacentral:rRNA from 1 species